rnacentral:siRNA from 1 species
UGCCCUUAGAUGUUCUGGGCCGCA